rnacentral:lncRNA from 1 species
CUCUUCUGUUCCUGCAAACCCCAGAGAACAUGCUGUAUGAGUGUGAUGGAAAUAAUUUCACUUUCUCUGACUUAUGAUUAGUGAAGAGGAUUUCAGGCUGGCAUCAAGUUACAGAGAUGGGGCCUGGAUGUGUUGCUUAGGCUGUGUGAAACACCUGGUCUUAAGCGAUCCUCUCACCCUGGCCUCCCAAAGCAUUGGGAUUACAGGGAGAAAAGAAUGGGAACUGUGAGGAAAAGAAUGACAUGAACAAUGGGAAGACCAAGGUCCCAGCACAAGUAGUAGAUGCUGAGGAAAGAAGAAGUAUGUUGUGGAGUAAGUGAGUGGGCCUGAGUUGAGAAGAUCCUGGCCUUGGAUUUUAAAACUGUCAGGUGACUAUGGUUGUGCUGGUCUCUGCUUUUCAUUAUGGAUAUAUGUGAGCUUUAUUUUCUAUUAAGUGGAAGAUCA